UCCGGUUUGACACCGGCAGUCUCCCUAGAGUGCCCGGCAUAACCCGCUGGUAACUAGGGACGAGGGUUGCGCUCGUUGCGGGACUUAACCCAACAUCUCACGACACGAGCUGACGACAGCCAUGCAGCACCCGUCUAGGGACUCCGAAGAGGGGCCUCGGUUUCUCGAGGCUUUCCCCUAGAUGUCAAGCCCAGGUAAGGUUCUUCGCGUUGCGUCGAAUUAAACCACAUGCUCCACCGCUUGUGCGGGCCCCCGUCAAUUCCUUUGAGUUUCAGCCUUGCGGCCGUACUCCCCAGGCGGGGCACUUAAUGCGUUAGCUGCGCCACCGAAAGCCUAAGGCCCCCGACAGCUAGUUCUCAUCGUUUACGGCGUGGACUAC
rnacentral:misc_RNA from 1 species